rnacentral:rRNA from 1 species
GAUGAACGCUGGCGGCGUGCCUAAUACAUGCAAGUCGAACGCACAGCGAAAGGUGCUUGCACCUUUCAAGUGAGUGGCGAACGGGUGAGUAACACGUGGACAACCUGCCUCAAGGCUGGGGAUAACAUUUGGAAACAGAUGCUAAUACCGAAUAAAACUCAGUUUCGCAUGACACAAAGUUAAAAGGCGCUUUGGCGUCACCUAGAGAUGGAUCCGCGGUGCAGUAGUUAGUUGGUGGGGUAAAGGCCUACCAAGACAAUGAUGCAUAGCCGAGUUGAGAGACUGAUCGGCCACAUUGGGACUGAGACACGGCCCAAACUCCUACGGGAGGCUGCAGUAGGGAAUCUUCCACAAUGGGCGAAAGCCUGAUGGAGCAACGCCGCGUGUGUGGUGAAGGCUUUCGGGUCGUAAAGCACUGUUGUAUGGGAAGAACAGCUAGAAUAGGGAAUGAUUUUAGUUUGACGGUACCAUACCAGAAAGGGACGGCUAAAUACGUGCCAGCAGCCGCCGUAA